UUCUCUGCAUUCAAAACACGCAGACACAAAAGUUAGCAGUAACCACUGUACUCUCUAAAAUUACUAGUUCUCUUUGAAACUUACAGCCUCUCACUCUCGGUCUGCAGCAGAUCUUUCAAGCUGCAGAGCACAGGCCUUUUCAGUUUUCAGCAUUAAAAGAACAAAGGGUUAUGGAGGUUUUUUGUUUGUUUUCUUAAGCUUCCUGUAUGCCUUUUCCACAGUACAGAUGAGGACACAUUCUCCAACCCUUCACUAGCACACAGUUGUCAACAGAAGUAGCUAACAGUGCCUUGCCAGAACGGGUGGAAUGAGCUCACUUACACACAACACACAGUUCAGGUGCUCUGGGCUUUCUUUACAAUUGCAAAAGAUGGAGUAAUGACUGUUCAACACUAAUUUAGGAACAGGGCAAGGUGUAUCCUCCUCAACCCUGGAAACUAGAGUUAGCUGCCACCUCAAAGUACAGGAGGUUUUCACCUUACAAGGCAAAGUACAGUCAAGACCAAUGGUGAAUAAACCAUUUCCUCUGCUGCAGCAUA